GAUGAACGCUGACAGAAUGCUUAACACAUGCAAGUCGAUUCGAUUUACCUUCGGGUAUUGAGGAUGGCGGACGGGUGAGUAACGCGUAAGGAACUUGCCUCUUGGUCUGGGACAACUGUUGGAAACGACAGCUAAUACCAGAUAUUAUGAGAUUCUCGCAUGAGAAACUUAUGAAAGCUAUAUGCGCCAAGAGAGAGCCUUGCGUUCCAUUAGCUAGUUGGUGGGGUAACGGCCCACCAAGGCGACGAUGGAUAGCCGGCCUGAGAGGGUGAACGGCCACAAGGGGACUGAGACACGGCCCUUACUCCUACGGGAGGCAGCAGUGGGGAGUAUUGGACAAUGGGCCACAAGCCUGAUCCAGCAAUUCUGUGUGCACGAUGAAGGUCUUCGGAUUGUAAAGUGCUUUCAGUUGGGAAGAAGAAAGUGACGGUACCAACAGAAGAAGCGACGGCUAAAUACGUGCCAGCAGCCGCGGUAAUACGUAUGUCGCAAGCGUUAUCCGGAUUUAUUGGGCGUAAAGCGCGUCUAGGCGGAAAAAUAAGUCUGAUGUUAAAAUGCGGGGCUCAACUCCGUAUUGCGUUGGAAACUGUUUUUCUAGAGUACUGGAGAGGUGGGCGGAACUACAAGUGUAGAGGUGAAAUUCGUANAUAUUUGUAG
rnacentral:rRNA from 1 species